rnacentral:rRNA from 1 species
GUGGUAGAGGAGUUGGGAUUGAAACGCCAACCAGGAUUUUGGCUCGAAAGCAGCCACCCAUUAAAAGAGUGCUUAAUAGCUCACUGGUCGAGUGAUCCUGCGCAGAAGAUUUCCGGGGCUAAACCUUACUACCGAAGAUGAGGAAUCAGUAAUGAUGUGUAGGGGGGAUUCCCAUACGGGUUGAAGCAUGACCGUAAGGACAUGUGGACAGUAUGGGAGUGAAAAUGUUGGCAUUAGUAGCGAGAUGUGGGUGAGAAUCCCACAGGCCAUAAACCCAAGGUUUCCAGGGGCUGUUUAGUCCGCCCAGGCUUAGUCGGGACCUGAGCUUAUGCCGAAAGGCGAAGAGAAAGUACAACAGCUUGAUCUUCCAGUUCUACCUCUUACCGGUUGGAGAGAGGGAUGAACACGUCGAUUAAGAUAAGAACACUG